CUUAGGGGUGCUACAAGUUGACCACUGC
rnacentral:piRNA from 1 species